rnacentral:rRNA from 1 species
AAACAUGUCUUUUUGAGUUAAUUUUAAAGUCUGACCUGCCCACUGAAAUAUUUAAAUGGCCGCAGUAUUCUAACUGUGCAAAGGUAGCAUAAUCAUUAGUUUUUUAAUUGAAGGCUGGAAUGAACGGUUGGACGAGGUAUAAACUGUUUCAUAUAAAUUUAUAUUAGAAUUUUAUAUUUUAGUAAAAAAGCUAAAAUUUUAUUAAAAGACGAGAAGACCCUAUAAAUCUUUAUAUUUAUUUUAAUUUAAAUUUUUUAGAUUUUUUAUAUUUUUAUUAAUUAUAAUAUUUUGUUGGGGUGAUAUUAAAAUUUAAUUAACUUUUAAUUUUAUUUAAUCAUUAAUUUAUGAUUUUUUGAUCCGUUAAUAACGAUUAUAAGAUUAAGUUACUUUAGGGAUAACAGCGUAAUUUUUUUGGAGAGUUCAUAUCGAUAAAAAAGUUUGCGACCUCGAUGUUGGAUUAAGAGAUAAUUUUAGGUGUAGCCGCUUAAAUUUAAAGUCUGUUCGACUUUUAAAUUCUUACAUGAUC